UACGGAGGGUGCAAGCGUUGUCCGGAUUUAUUGGGUUUAAAGGGUGCGUAGGCGGCCCGUUAAGUCAGUGGUGAAAGCCCUCCAGCUCAACUGGAGAACUGCCAUUGAUACUGACGGGCUUGAGUACAGACGAGGUUGGCGGAAUUGAUUGUGUAGCGGUGAAAUGCAUAGAUACAAUCAAGAACUCCGAUUGCGUAGGCAGCUAACUAGGCUGUAACUGACGCUGGAGGCACGAAAGCGUGGGGAGCGAACAGG
rnacentral:rRNA from 1 species